rnacentral:rRNA from 1 species
CACGUAGGGUGCGAGCGUUGUCCGGAAUUACUGGGCGUAAAGGGCUCGUAGGCGGCCAACUAAGUCCGACGUGAAAUCCCAAAGCUUAACUUUGGAACUGCGUCGGAUACUGGAUGGCUUGAAUUCGGGAGAGGGAUGCAGAAUUCCAGGUGUAGCGGUGAAAUGCGUAGAUAUCUGGAGGAAUACCGGUGGCGAAGGCGGCAUCCUGGACCGACAUUGACGCUGAGGAGCGAAAGCUAGGGGAGCAAACGGGG